rnacentral:rRNA from 1 species
GCAUAUCAAUAAGCGGAGGAAAAGAAACCAACAGGGAUUGCCUUAGUAACGGCGAGUGAAGCGGCAAAAGCUCAAAUUUGAAAUCGGCCACCAGGUCGAGUUGUAAUUUGUAGAUUGUAUCUUGAGAGCGGAUUAAAGUCUGUUGGAACACAGCGCCUUAGAGGGUGACAGCCCCGUAAAAUCUAUUCUCAUUGUAAGAUACUUUCGAAGAGUCGAGUUGUUUGGGAAUGCAGCUCUAAGUGGGAGGUAAAUUCCUUCUAAAGCUAAAUAUUGACGAGAGACCGAUAGCGAACAAGUACUGUGAAGGAAAGAUGAAAAGCACUUUGAAAAGAGAGUGAAAAAGUACGUGAAAUUGUUAAAAGGGAAGGGUAUUGAAUCAGACUUGGUGCUGUUGUUCAACUGUGUUUCGGCACAGUGUACUCAGCAGUACUAGGCCAAGGUGGGGUGUUUGGGAGUGAAAAAGAAGUUGGAACGUAACUCUUCGGAGUGUUAUAGCCUACUUUCAUAGCUCCUCAGGCGCCUCAGGACUGCGCUCGGCAAGCCUUGGCAUAAUGAUUCUAUACCGCCCGUCUUGAAACACGGACC